rnacentral:rRNA from 1 species
UACGUAGGGGGCAAGCGUUGUCCGGAUUUACUGGGCGUAAAGAGCGUGUAGGCGGCCAAACAGGUCCGUUGUGAAAACUCGAGGCUCAACCUCGAGACGUCGAUGGAAACCAUCUAGCUAGAGUCCGGAAGAGGAGAGUGGAAUUCCGUGGAUGUAGCGGUGAAAUGCGCAGAUAUCAGGAAGAACACCCGUGGCGAAGGCGGCUCUCUGGUACGUGACUGACGCUGAGACGCGAAAGCGUGGGGAGCGAACAGGG